AUUUAAUUAGUUUAUUUAAAACAUUGAUUUGUGGUGUCAAAGAUAUUUAUAUUAUAUUAAAUU
rnacentral:tRNA from 1 species